CACGGGUCGUGGAAGGAACGGUCUAAAUAACGCUGAUAAAGACGCACACAAUGCAGGAGUAACUCAGCGGGUCAGCAGCAUAGAUGGAUUAAAAUGAAAUGGGCGACGCUUCGGGUCGAGACCCUUCCGCAUACAGGGGAGAGUUGUGGAUGGGUAAGGUGUGAAAACGAGACAUACAAAGGAACGGUGUGCACGGAAAACGUCGAAUGGUUCAUUGUUGGCUGAGGGCAAGGUGACAGAGGCACGCGAUCAGUAAAAUUAAUCAGGACAGUGAAGUUAGUCGGAGAACUAGGGUGGGUAGAAUGCUACUUUAAGUUAGAGGAAUCAAUAUUCAUACCGAUGGGUUGUACGCUGACAAAUACUAGGCGGCCCAGGACAGAAAGGUCAGUGUGCGAGGGGAAAAACCGGGGAGAUAAAGGCGCGUCGGCCAAGACGGACCGAGCGAAAUGGCGGCCGGAUGCGGAGGCCCCGGCCUGAAUUAGCAGGAACGAAGGCGAUGAAAGAGAACAUUAAUACAAGUGGCGGCGAGGGUGAGUGAAGGUGCAAGAGUGAGGCCGUACCUGUAGUUGCUUGCUUGCUGGCGGGCGGUGGUGAUGGUGAAGACCGGGCUGCGGAAGAGAGCUGUUGGCCGUGUCCGACGCCGCAAUGAGACCGCGCCGCUCCCGCCGCGCGCUUUUAAGGCUCACUCGAAGGUUCUAGAAAGCCGCGCGCGUCAUCGCUGGGGCCCGGCCAAUGAGCUCCCGAUGGGUGACGUCACCGGGCGCGGCGGGAAGGCAGGCCGGCGUCUGAUUGGCUGUGCCGUGGAGCCGCCCUUGGGACCGGGCCGGAUGGGACGAGACUACCUGGGCGGAAAGAUGGAAGCUGUGUGUUGGAACAAACUGCAAAUGCCGGGUUAUAUCCGGAGAUUGACACAAAAAGCUGCAGUAACUCCGCGGGUCAGCCAGCAACUCGGGUUCGAGACCCUUCCUCAGAUCUGAAGCUGAGAUGGCGCCCAACACAGGAGCACGAAGGCGUGCAGAUCGGUGUGAUAAUCCAAGGGCCGGGGUUCGGAGAUACCCGCGGCCCUCCCGUGGUUUACACCGGCUGUUCACACGAUGUUACAUCACUUGUGUGGCCGGUUCCACCAGCAUGCGCCUGCAUGCGGCAAGCGCGACCAAACCAGAAGCGGGGGCCGCGAGGAGGUUGAGUGAGUGACAUGAAGUUCGAGCGAAGUUCGCGCGUGACGUACGGUAUCGAGGUGGCUGCGGGCCGGUAGGCUGUUACCGUGCAGAAUUUUUGAACACGGUCAGUUUUUCGGAGCCCCGCGCGAUGUCGGGACCAGCUCCGCACAACUCCAUACGACUCCAGUGAUCGAAGUGGGACCGGCCCCGAUAGGCCGUACGGCUCAAGCGACCACGUUAGGUCGCGCUUGCCGCAUGCUGGUGGGACCGGCCCUUUAGGUCGCGCUUGCCGCAUGGAGUCGCAUGCUCGUGGGACAGGCCCUUAACUUUUUCUUCCCCAAACAUAACCAGAUAAUUUUAUUACAUUAGAUCUUCUAUUUUCACUAAGUAUUUGCUGUGGAAAACCAAGGCAUGUUAUGAUAUAUUCUGAAGAGACACAAAAUGCUGGAGUAACUCAGUGGGACAGACAGCAUCUCUGGAGAGAAGGAAUGGGUGCUGAUUUGGGUCGAGACCCUUGUUCAGACUAGUUAUGGAUAAGGGAAAAGAGAGAUAUAGACUGUGAUGUAAUUAAAGUGAAGGGCGAGAUGUGAUGUGAUUAAAGUGAAGGGAGGGAUGUGAUGUAUUUGUAAUGUACUAUCAUUGAAUGUAUCAGAAUAGAAUUUGUGAUGUAUAUGCAAUGUAAAUGCCAGUGCCCAUUGAGGUCAAAAGCAGAAGCUGGUAAAUGUACCUGUGCCUCGUGACUGAGGUCAAGUGACCUUCUGGAAGUUUCUGUCAUUGCAGAUUAAACUUUUCUUACAAGA